UGACUUCCGACAAAACCAGAGUAGAGAACUAAAGUCUCACACCUUCCCCUUAGGCAAGGGAAGAACCAUCCUUGAUGUAUUCCUGUGUGUUCACCAUAACAGCUGACUCGCGCACAUGCUAUUCUGAAAGCCGAAAACCGUGGAACGUGCUCUCGAAUCACCCAAAGUGCAAGAAAUAGUGCAAACAUGUUGCACAAAAAACCUGCAUAAAGGAUGCGGUCUAUCGCAAGCCCUUAUCCGAAAGGAGAGAGGCCCCCUCGUAUUGUUUCCUCGUAUUGUAAUCCUGACUAGGAUGAAAAUAGGAUUACUGCUGAGAAGUGAUCUCUACACAACUCUUGUGAAGCUCACCGAAAUGGACUAGGAUGAAGUUCACAGGAAUGUCACUUUGACUCUACAGAAGCUGGUAUGCCCCAAGCAAUCCUAA